AACGAACGCUGGCGGCAGGCCUAACACAUGCAAGUCGAACGCUCCAGCAAUGGAGAGUGGCAGACGGGUGAGUAACGCGUGGGAACCUUCCCUAUGGUUCGGAAUAGCUCAGGGAAACUUGAGGUAAUACCGGAUAAGCCCUUCGGGGAAGGAUUAUCGCCAUUGGAUGGGCCCGCGUAGGAUUAGCUAGUUGGUGAGGUAACGGACUCACCAAGGCGACGAUCCUUAGCUGGUCUGAGAGGA
rnacentral:rRNA from 1 species